GGAGAGAUGCCAGAGCGGUCGAAUGGAACGGUCUUGAAAACCGUCGUCGGUGAGAGCCGACCGUGGGUUCGAAUCCCACUCUCUCCG
rnacentral:tRNA from 1 species